CAGUUGCCGUAGCUUCACUUUCCAUAUGGAAGCUAAAUUGUCAAUAAUUAUUAGAUACAGGGUAAGUGACCUUAUUGCUAUGGAAACCUGACUGCUGGGAGAUGUGCAGUGAAGAUUUGUGCUGUCGGGGGCAUCGGCUGCCUGUUCUCUGAAAAUGGGAGGCCCUGAGCAAGUCGGAUACACAGGAAAGGAGCUGAAACCUGCAGUGAGAUCUGAAGGCUGGAGGGAAGAGGGUGAUGCGAUUUUUCAAAUUCACCUUCACCGCUCAAACCUCAGGAGUGUGACAUGAGUAAAUAUGGACUAAAAAAAAAAAAACACCAUCCCUGUCCUUAAUCAGAAAAAGAAACGGUUAAAGGCCAAGAGAAGGAAGAUUUUUUUUCUUGAUGUCAAAUGCAUUUGCGGUUCUCCUGCUCACUUAAAAAUGGAUGAUGAUUGUUUUUGUUAAUAGCAUGAGGCUGGGGUAGAUUUAUUCAACAGAAUGUAUCGUAAAAAACACCAAAAAAACACCUGACAUAAAAUGAUGAAGAAGAGCUUGAUUGUUUAUGUAUUAUGCAGGAGCUUCCAUGUCACAUAUGUAUUCAUUAUUACUACAAGAUAGUGCCAUUAUGCCUUAUCAUGCACAUACAUUUGAUUUUCUUUGGUCUUUCAUUACACAAGGGUGCGGGCUGACAGCUAGAGCAGAAGCCCUUAAAGGACCCUGUUGUUUACUAAAUUGUCUUGCUGGAGGUUAAAUAAGGAGACAGGUGACAUGGCUUCCCCUCUGGCUCCCGUUAUUGGCGGAAGUACAAGCACCGGGGAGCGCGAUGGCAAAUCAGAGCAAGCACGGGGGAGGGGUAAACCAAUGGGGCAUCAGCUUCCCGCUCCACAAGGCCUGUAAGAGAAGCGUUCUGCAGUCCCAGCAGAUUUCUCCCGCUCAUUUACAGACUAUACCCUUCCCUGGCUGCUGACGGCUUUCCAGCUCCUCUACAACAGCUCUUCACAGCCCUCGACUGGCCUGGACUCCUGUAGGUACAGUCAUUGCCAUGAGUCUCCCAGCAGUUCAUACACCGUUCCUCAGAUCUGUCACCCCAACAAGCCUCAGCAAAUAAACAAAUUCCAUCACUUGGACACAUAUCCUAGUAUCCAUGGUACCAUUUCAUAAAAAUAUGUUUUUUCUUAGUGUUGCCUUUGCAUCCCUCUGUUUGUGACCUGAUGUCAACCCCAGGGUCAGUAAUUUGCGAAAUA